AUGAUCUCUACAUCCCUACUGCUGCUGCUGCUGGCAGCCGUACACUGUGUUCACUGUGUUGAGCUGAUCCAGACCGGAUCCACAGUAUUAACUCCUGGUCAGUCACUGACUCUGACCUGUAAAGUGUCUGGAUAUUCAUUAACUGAUAGCAGCUACUGUACAAACUGGAUACGACAACCUGCAGGAAAAACUCUGGAGUGGAUUGGAGGUAUAUGUGGUAGCGGUAACACUUUCAACAGUGAGAAACUGAAAAGCAGGUUCAGCAUCUCCAGAGACACUUCUACUAACACAGUAACAAUUGGAGGACAGAACAUGCAGACUGAAGACACAGCUGUGUAUUACUGCGCUGGUUACACACAGUGAGACAGAAUAGUGGAUUCCUCUUACAAAAACCUUAUGAGACAUGUUACACACAUCCUCUCAAUGCAACUAAUAAAUCAUCUCAGUCACACUUUCACUUUCUUCUAUUGUAAUAAAGUCGUAAUAGUUUGCAGUGUUUUAAA